ensembl:lncRNA
CGGCUUCCCUGCCCUGCUCCGCGUGCUGACUCCACUCCCCAAAUGCAGACUGAUACAGCCCUUCCCUGCGGGGCCGCCCCGGAAGCCUCUGACCCGGGCCUCGCCCAGCCAGAAGGCAGCAUGGCGGCUGGGGCUGCAGGCCUGGGGGGAAUGUCCCCUGACCUCGGGGCCCAAGCAUCGCAGGGAAGCCAGCGGGAGACAGAUGCCAGCUCCAGAGGCUGGGGAGGUUAGAGCCGGCCGCAUAAACAGUGAUAGGGAACCGCGUCUGUGCCAGGACGCCGGGACGGGGACCCGAGCUCCCAGCAGAGCACAGCCCGCAGGAAUUGCCCAACCCAUCUGAAACAAGGGUUUCAGAUUCCAGCACCAGCCCCCCCCACCCACAGCUGUCAGGAGCCAGGCCUCCCUGCCUCCCCGAUUGCCUAAGGUGUGGGGACGACGACAGCAGAGCAGGGUGAAAAGGCCAGGCGUCCCUGGGCCCCCGCACACUCUCUUCUGUGGACAGGAUAUGAGGGGGACAGGAACAAGGCCUCAGUACAGCAGUGGCCCCGGGGACCCUUCUCCUCCCAGAACUGCCCUGUGGUAUCACCCGCUUGCCCCUGGGACACAGGGAAGAGCCAAGUCCACUCCUGCCUGCGAAGGAUGUGGGGCCUGGCGAUAUCUCCCACAACCCUUGCCCCCGCUGGCCCCCCACCUUUCUCAAAACGACCGGCUCUGGGGGAGCUGACGAGGCCUCCUCGCCCACUGCGGUCCGUCCCGGGACGGCCCCCCAGCUCAGCAGGACUCCCUCAGCCUCCCUGUCACACACAGGCUGACCCCCUCAUAGGCCAGCCCCUCCUGGGGCAGAAGGCAAAGCCGACCCCAUUCCUUUCACUGUCGUUUACCAAAUCUCUCCUUUUUUCUGCAGAACCUAAUUUUUUUUUCAUUCGCGCCCCAUUGACUAAGCACUGUAAAGCGCAAGGCGGUGGGCGCCGCCUCAUUCCCCUGGACCCCACUGCGAGGCAGACGUUGUCAUCCCGUCUACAGGCCUCUACGAGACUCGACCCCAGAGGAGGGCAUCUCCACUCCGGAGGGAUCCCCCAUUCCUCAUUCAUUCCCCUGAACAGAGGUGAGAGAUUCGGCUCUCCUCGCGGUAUCUUCUUUUCCAAACACAUGAUUUUCCUUGAAGUCAAAAAGAGCUUCCAUAAACAGCCGACCCACAGUUCACAGAGCACCCCAGCAGGCACGGUCCCCAGAGGGACUGCCGACACCCGGAGUCCAUCCAGGCCACGGCCACGGCCUGGGAUCAGCCCAAAACUGGUGGAGCCCAUUAAGGGUCACGACCUGGUAAUUUAUAAAGCACCCACUGUGUCCAUGGUCCACGGGGCCACAAAGGCCACCAGUUCGCUUCCUGGGAGGAGCUUACCUUUGGAAGCUAAAACUGUGACAGCUCUGCACCCAAGCAGGGGGCUCCGGGAAGAGGGGCCUUUCCAAAGGCUUCUGGGAGGAGGCGGAGAUGGCCCGGGGCUCCACAGACGGGGGAGAUUCAGAAGCUGGGUCCAAGUGACAGGAGAGCCCAGUGUCCUCGCUACACCACGUAGCAUGUCACCUGACCUCCGGGAGCCUCAGUUUCCUUUCAAAUGGGACUCACGUCAGUACCUCCCUCAGAGUCAGGGUCAGUGGGCUCUCCUCGCUGACCCACCCCCCGGGCCAGCCUCCUGGGCUCCUGCCCACCAGGGAAAAGGAAGAAACGAGGCCACGGGAACUUUGUCUCCUGCCACGUGGAAGCAGCCAGCCGUGGUGAGGCCACACACUGUCACACAGACUUCAGAUGCCAG